rnacentral:rRNA from 1 species
AACGAACGCUGGCGGCAUGCCUAACACAUGCAAGUCGAACGAGAUCUUCAGGUCUAGUGGCGCACGGGUGCGUAACGCGUGGGAAUCUGCCCUUUGGUUCGGAAUAACAGUUGGAAACGACUGCUAAUACCGGAUGAUGACGAAAGUCCAAAGAUUUAUCGCCAGAGGAUGAGCCCGCGUAGGAUUAGCUAGUGGGUGUGGUAAAGGCGCACCAAGGCGACGAUCCUUAGCGGGUCUGAGAGGAUGAUCAGCCACACUGGGACUGAGACACGGCCCAGACUCCUACGGGAGGCAGCAGUGGGGAAUAUUGGACAAUGGGCGAAAGACUGAUCCAGCAAUGCCGCGUGAGUGAUGAAGGCCUUAGGGUUGUAAAGCUCUUUUACCCGGGAUGAUAAUGACAGUACCGGGAGAAUAAGCUCCGGCUAACUCCGUGCCAGCCGCCGCGGUAA